rnacentral:tRNA from 1 species
GCGGGUGUGGCGGAAUGGCAGACGCGCCAGACUUAGGAUCUGGUGGGCUCAGCCCGUGGAGGUUCAAAUCCUCUCACCCGCACCA